rnacentral:rRNA from 1 species
GGAUAAGCGGGGGAAACCCCGUCUAAUACCGCGUAACGCGGCCUAGGGACAUCCCAAGGCCGCCAAAGGGAGCAAUCCCGGCCACGGAUGGGCAUGCGGCGCAUUAGCUAGUCGGCGGGGUAACGGCCCACCGAGGCGACGAUGCGUAGGGGUUCUGAGAGGAAGGCCCCCCACACUGGUACUGAGACACGGACCAGACUCCUACGGGAGGCAGCAGUGAGGAAUAUUGGUCAAUGGGCGCGAGCCUGAACCAGCCAAGUCGCGUGAGGGAGGACGGCCCUACGGGUUGUAAACCUCUUUUGCCGGGGAGCAACGGGCGCCACGUGUGGCGCCACUGAGAGUACCCGGAGAAAAAGCAUCGGCUAACUCCGUGCCAGCAGCCGCGGUAAUACGGAGGAUGCGAGCGUUAUCCGGAUUUAUUGGGUUUAAAGGGUGCGUAGGCGGAUCGUUAAGUCAGUGGUCAAAUUGAGGGGCUCAACCCCUUCCCGCCAUUGAAACUGGCGAUCUUGAGUGGAAGAGAAGUAUGCGGAAUGCGUGGUGUAGCGGUGAAAUGCAUAGAUAUCACGCAGAACCCCGAUUGCGAAGGCAGCAUGCCGGCUUCCUACUGACGCUGAAGCACGAAAGCGUGGGGAUCGAACAGGAUUAGAUACCCUGGUAGUCCACGCGGUAAACGAUGAGCGCUAGGUGUCCGGGGGGAAUGGCCCCUGGGC